GAGUUUGAUCAUGGCUCAGAUUGAACGCUGGCGGCAGGCUUAACACAUGCAAGUCGAGCGGUAACAGGCCUUCGGGUGCUGACGAGCGGCGAACGGGUGAGUAACGCGUAGGAAUCUGCCUGAUAGAGGGGGAUAGCCCGGGGAAACUCGGAUUAAUACCGCAUACGCCCUACGGGGGAAAGCAGGGGAUCUUCGGACCUUGCGCUAUCAGAUGAGCCUGCGUCGGAUUAGCUAGUUGGUAGGGUAAAGGCCUACCAAGGCGACGAUCCGUAACUGGUCUGAGAGGAUGAUCAGUCACACUGGAACUGAGACACGGUCCAGACUCCUACGGGUGGCAGCAGUGGGGAAUAUUGGACAAUGGGGGCAACCCUGAUCCAGCCAUGCCGCGUGUGUGAAGAAGGCCUUCGGGUUGUAAAGCACUUUAAGCAGGGAGGAAAGGGUGAAGGCUAAUAUCCUUCAUCAUUGACGUUACCUGCAGAAUAAGCACCGGCUAACUUCGUGCCAGCAGCCGCGGUAAUACGAAGGGUGCAAGCGUUAAUCGGAAUUACUGGGCGUAAAGCGCGCGUAGGCGGUUUGAUAAGUUGGAUGUGAAAGCCCCGGGCUCAAC
rnacentral:rRNA from 1 species